rnacentral:rRNA from 1 species
UUUAAAGCAAAUAAGGGCACAUGGUGGAUGCCUUGGGUCUGAGAGGCGAUGAAGGACGUGGUAAGCUGCGAUAAUCCGUGGGGAGCCGCUAAACAGGCUUUGAUCCGCGGGAUUCC